AGUGAACGCUGGCGGCAUGCCUAACACAUGCAAGUCGAACGGCCAGCAAUGUCAGUCGCGGUCGUGUGAGUAACGCGUAGGAACGGGUCCUGAGGUGGGGGACAAUCUCGGGAAACUGGGGGUAAUACGGAAUAUGGGUUAAGGCCCAAAGCCGUGCGGCGACUUUGGGGCGGCCUGCGUUCGAUUAGGUUGUUGGUAGGGUAUAGGCCUACCAAGCCUGCGAUCGGUAGCUGGUCUGAGAGGAAGACCAGCCACACUGGGACUGAGACACGGUCCAGACUCCUACGGGAGGCAGCAGUGGGGAAUAUUGGACAAUGGGCGAAAGCCUGAUGGAGCAAUGCCGGGUGAGUGAAGAAGGUCUUCGGGUCGUAAAGCCCUUUCAACGGUGACGAUGAUGACGGUACCCGUAGAAGAAGCACCGGCUAACUUCGUG
rnacentral:rRNA from 1 species